CAUGGACCACAUUAGUGUCAGAAGCUAAGAAUCACUGCCAACUCUCAGAAGAUACUCUCAACUUUAUCUGCACUCUAACGCCUCAACUUCUGCUCUCUGAGAUUUCUGCCCAUGACCAUAUUAACCUUACCACCUUCAGAUGAUCCUUCUCCUUUAUCCAACCUUUCUGCUGAACUCAUAGCCCACAGCUCCACUCCAUGGCCCCGGGGUAUGGGAGAGGGGAAGCUGGACUGCACUAUGCUCUGGCAUCUUCAGGAAGUGAAGUGCUGGCCGCCUCAUCCCUUACUAUUGUUUGUGGUGUUGGGAACUCAGAAUGAUGAGCAGGGAGUCGCGUGAGGGACAAGGAGAGAAAAGAGCGCCGACCCUUCUCCAUUGCCUCUCCAGCUGGCAAAGUCGACCCUGCUGGGACCUGAUGAAUCUCCUAAAUCUCUUGUGAGUCUUUCCAAAGACAAUCUGCCUCCUUUCCACCUGCCAGAGCCAACAAAGGGCCAGUCUCCCUCUUAGCUGGGCUGCUCACAAACUCCCCCAUGAGUUAGAUAGAGAAGGACAGUUUGGUGCACAGUGACCCGAUCUGAACCCAGCCCCUGAGCUUAGUGAGAGGAUAUAAAUUUGUCUAUUCUCUGCCUCUAAUGUAUAAUGGCAGAGCUUGGUGAUUUAUACAGAAGAGAGGUUUAACUGAACUCACAACUCUGGAGGAGCAAGGUCUUCUCACCAGCACUGAAGUAGUGCCCAGCGUCACCUGGCAGGAGACAGGAGGCACACCUUUGUAUGUACACAUGUCUUUCUAGUCCCUGUCCCCUUGCUUACAAAGCCACCCGGAUUCUGCCAUGAGGGAUCCUGCUGAAUUAUUGGUCUUCAUUUUAAUCAUGCUCCAAGGCCCAUCCCUAAAUACCCUAGUUAGAUUAAAUACCCACCCUCUUAAUGCCUCACAAUUCAGCGACUGGGGGUUAAGCAGCAACACACACAAAACUGGGAAACCCUCACACCACAUGCAAGCCACUGGGAGGUACUUCCUUCAUCUCUAUUCAAACCAGUUUGGGUUUGUUUCUUGUUUUUCUAAUUGUCAUCUUCUGAGCUGAGACACAGCUCAGUAGUUAAAGUGCUUGUUCUGAAAAAGAAGUGCCUGACUUGGGUCCUCAGAACCCAAGUCAAAAAGGUAAACCCAGCAUGUGCCUGUCAUCCCAGGAGGAGGCAGAGACAAGGCCCAUAGGACUUCCUGGCCAGCCCAUCUAGCUGAACUAGAGAGCUCUAGGUUCCGUGAGAGGCCCUACUACAAAACAUAAGAUGAAAGUGAUUAAGGAAGACACCCAAUAUCACCCUCUGGCCUCCACAUGCACACAUGCACACACACACACACA